rnacentral:snRNA from 13 species
AUUAUUACCUGGCCCCGGGACCAGGGUGAUCACGGACAUCCUGGCACCAAGUGGAGACCCGACCUUGCACUCUGGCGGGAUGAAGCCUGCAACAAUCCCUAAUCGGGCUCGCUCGGGCUCGUAGAUUUUGCCAGUGGGGAGGUCUUGGAACCAUCCCUU